AUUGAACGCUAGGGGGAUGCUAUACACAUGCAAGUCGAACGAGUGGCGGACGGGUGAGGAAUAUAUAGGAACGUGCCCAGUAGCGGGGGAUAACUACUCGAAAGAGUGGCUAAUAGCGAAUACUAUUGGAGCGGCCGAUAGCGGAAUAGCUCGUUGGGGGGGUAAAGGCUCCCCAAGGCAACGAUCCGUAGCUGGUUUGAGAGGACGACCCGCCACACUGGGACUGAGACACGGCCCAUACUCCUACGGGAGGCAGCAGGGGGGAAUUUUGGACAAUGGGGGAAACCCUGAUCCAGCCAUCCCGCGUGUAUGAGAUGGCCUUCGGUUUGGAAAGUACUUUUGGCAGAGAAGCGGUAUCUGCAGAAUAAGCACCGGCUAACUACGUGCCAGCCGCCGCGGUAAUAC
rnacentral:rRNA from 1 species